UACAGAGGUCUCGAGCGUUGUUCGGAUUCAUUGGGCGUAAAGGGUGCGUAGGUGGUCGUGUAAGUCGGAUGUGAAAUCCCGGGGCUCAACCCCGGAACUGCAUUCGAUACUGCGUGGCUUGAGUACUGGAGAGGAGAUCGGAAUUUACGGUGUAGCAGUGAAAUGCGUAGAUAUCGUAAGGAAGACCAGUGGCGAAGGCGGAUCUCUGGACAGUUACUGACACUGA
rnacentral:rRNA from 1 species